AAGUCGUAACAAGGUUCUCCGUAGGUGAACCUGCGGAGGGAUCAUUACGUGGUAAGGGUAUUGGACGGCCUUCGGCAAGACAGGUCCCCGCUCCAUCCCACACACUUGUUGCAGUUCAGAUGUCGCUUUUUCGGCGCAUUUCACCGGGACCGCUUGGAAAUUAACCUCAGGUUCGGAGACUUCGAAACGUUCAGUUAAAGAAAAGAAAAA
rnacentral:misc_RNA from 1 species